GACGAGCGCUGGCGGCGUGCUUAACACAUGCAAGUCGAACGGUGAAGCGCCUUCCUUUUUGGUGGGUGUGGAUGAGUGGCGAACGGGUGAGUAACACGUGAGUAACCUGCCCCCUUCUUCUGGAUAACCGCAUGAAAGUGUGGCUAAUACGGGAUAUUCUGGGUCUGUCGCAUGAUGGGUCUGGGAAAGAUAUUGUUUCGGUGGGGGAUGGGCUCGCGGCCUAUUAGCUUGUUGGUGGGGUGAUGGCCUACCAAGGCGGUGACGGGUAGCCGGCCUGAGAGGGUGGACGGUCACACUGGGACUGAGACACGGCCCAGACUCCUGCGGGAGGCAGCAGUGGGGAAUAUUGCACAAUGGGCGCAAGCCUGAUGCAGCGACGCCGCGUGAGGGAUGGAGGCCUGCGGGUUGUGAACCUCUUUCGCCAGUGAAGCAGGCCUGCCUCGUUUGUGGGUGGGUUGACGGUAGCUGGAGAAGAAGCGCCGGCUAACUACGUG
rnacentral:rRNA from 1 species